rnacentral:rRNA from 1 species
AUUGAACGCUGGCGGCAGGCCUAACACAUGCAAGUCGAGCGGAGGAAGGGAGCUUGCUCCUGGAUUCAGCGGCGGACGGGUGAGUAAUGCCUAGGAAUCUGCCUGGUAGUGGGGGAUAACGUCCGGAAACGGGCGCUAAUACCGCAUACGUCCUGAGGGAGAAAGUGGGGGACCUUCGGACCUCACGCUAUCAGAUGAGCCUAGGUCGGAUUAGCUAGUUGGUGGGGUAAAGGCCUACCAAGGCGACGAUCCGUAACUGGUCUGAGAGGAUGAUCAGUCACACUGGAACUGAGACACGGUCCAGACUCCUACGGGAGGCAGCAGUGGGGAAUAUUGGACAAUGGGCGAAAGCCUGAUCCAGCCAUGCCGCGUGUGUGAAGAAGGUCUUCGGAUUGUAAAGCACUUUAAGUUGGGAGGAAGGGCAGUAAGUUAAUACCUUGCUGUUUUGACGUUACCAACAGAAUAAGCACCGGCUAACUUCGUG